AUUCACCUCGACUUCGUCUCGGUGAAUAUUCACCGAUAAUCACUUCGCCUUCGGCGAAUAAUUGUUAAAUGUUUAAUGAUGAUUGGCUAACAGAGUACGCACGUGUUGUAUAUCAUAAAUUACGUCGGCCACAAUCUCAAACAAAUGUAAACAUGCAGGCGUGGAUGGACCUAAAUUUGAUCGUAAUGCCUCAAAGAAAGGCGUGUAAAAGGUAAAUUUUUAAUGUUUGGUAUAUAUUUUUGGUAG